UACAGAGGGUGCAAGCGUUGUCCGGAAUUAUUGGGCGUAAAGCGCGCGCAGGCGGUUUCUUAAGUCUGAUGUGAAAGCCCCCGGCUCAACCGGGGAGGGUCAUUGGAAGCUGGGAAACUUGAGUGCAGAAGAGGAAAGUGGAAUUCCAAGUGUAGCGGUGAAAUGCGUAGAGAUUUGGAGGAACACCGGUGGCGAAGGCGGCAUCCUGGACCGGCAUUGACGCUGAGGCGCGAAAGCCAGGGGAGCAAACGGG
rnacentral:rRNA from 1 species